rnacentral:lncRNA from 1 species
UGGUGACCUUUUAUAUUUUCAUAAUCUAAAAAGAGCAUGGUUAACCAUAAAUGGAACAUAAGUAGCAAGGACAUAGUGUUCAGUCUUACAUGGUGGGAAAAAGUGGAUGGGAGAUGGUACCAGAUAUUUAUUGAGGGUACCACUCGAAAUGUAUAGAGACAUAAGGGCCAUCGGAUACUCCCAUGUAUUAUCCUACAAACCACAAAACAUUUAUGGAAACAUAAGACGACCGAUUUAAGAAUUGAAAUGGUAAACAAUUCAGGGAAUUGAAGUGGCUUUUCUUUCAAGAACUUUUAGAAAGGUGAACCUAUACAUAAUUGAGUACAUGCUCUAAAAAGGAGUUCCAAGUUAUGGCAUUCUCCAAAUAAGGGUUAAACAACAUAUUUAAAUCAUCUCUACAAUAUCUUAAAUAAAAUCAUCUCUAGAAAAACAUUUUCUUGUAUAUAAUGUCUCAUCAAUAUUCAAGAAUGGGUAUUUGAAAGAUACUAUUAAGGGUCUUGGAAACAGUGCCUAUAUUUGUUAAAAACAGAAUAUAUUAAGAUGACUCACCUUAUGAACCAUGAGGCUUGCCGAGCAUUAAGGCCAUAAUUUUUAAUUUGGCUCAUCUUGCAUACCAUGAUGUUAAUGCGGAAUUAAGGCCAUAAGUUUUAAUUUGGCUCAUCUUGCAUACGACGAUGGUAAUGCUUAAUGAUCGGAAAAAUCAAAACAUGUUUUAAAGACCGUAAAACUUAUUUGUACAAUUCAUUGGGUUGCUACCUUACGUAAUUUGGUCGACAUUGUCCAAAUAUAUCUUGGAGCAACCAUGUUACGCCUUAUCCUAGUUCUUGCAUCAUUGACCUCUUGUUAUAUUCAGAAUCCACUUCUUCCUGAAACUAAAUCUGCAUUCAUAUUGACCACUCUAAACUACUCAUGCUUUAUUUCCCUGCAUUUUCCUUCACUGGACAUCAUCUUCUCCAUGUCUUUCAUCGAAAUGCCUAUUCCUAUGGUUCCUUCAGCACCAUAUACAUCAUGUUCUCAUCCUCGAACGCUACAGAAACAUCUGAUGCAGGUAAUGUUAAUACGUCAAAUAUUAGCAUCAAGCUAGCAAUCAACCAACAUGGAGAAUCAAAGUUACCUUCUUUAGCCUAGCUGUGUCGUGUCUAAGACCCGUUUGCCUUAUAUUGUUCUCGGCAAACAUGACACAUGGUGCCAUCUGGGUAGCCCUACCGGAGCAUACUUUUGCCCAAUCGGGUAAACGGUAAAACGGUCGUAACUUGUCCUUCCAUCUAUGUCAUUUGUUUGCCGUGUCCCUAUGUUCUGCACUCGGCGAAAAUUUUAUUAGGUGCCGAUUGGUGCCCGUACAAAAGAAAAAAUGACGAUAUAAAUUAGCCGACAUGCGCCGAACAUAGUUGUGUUUUCGAGUGUAGCACUCGGCAUAUAUUAUGCCGAGUUUUUUUCAGCAUUUUCCGAUUGUGUUUGGCACUCCACAAAAUAGGGAAUUCCAGUAGUGAGCACGUCAUGUGUACUGAUAUAUAUUGUGCAUGCACAGAGAUAAAAAAGAAUAUGUAAAUAUACUUUGAAAUUACUUUUGGAAACAUAUAUUGUCAAAGAUGUAUAUAUUAUAUUGACCGGAUUUUCUUCAAAUGUGUAUAGAUUGAUAGAAUUCUGAAGACAUUUAAAGGUUCAUAUCUAUACAUGAGAAGCAAAAAAAUCUUCACUAUGUCGAGAAAAUGAGCACAAAAGAGGUGUGAUUAUCCAACAUAAAAAGACAAUAUGUAUUAGAGGAGCAAACUAUGGAACAAAUAGUCUUGAAAAGCUAUGAUUGUAGCAUCAAACAAUAAGUUUUGACGUACAUGCAUGUAACAGACUUACCAAAUACAGCAACUCAGGAGCCUUAUUAUAAUCCUUUCUGGAUUUAUAAAUUUAGAAGAAAUAAAAUCUAUGAGGUAAGCAAUUAUGCAGUUGGAAAUGUAUUUAUUAAAUUCGGAAUAAUCUGAAUAAUUUAAUGGCCGAAGUAGAGGAGCAUAUCUCGGUUUUUUUAUUACAAUCUCAGAGGACAAUAUGCGUAAAAUAACCAGAGAUAUUUAGUCUCAUUCACAAAUGGCCAAGACAUAAAGAAGAGAAAGUAAACAAACACAUGUUUUUCUUGAGAGAAAUGUGUGGAAACCAUUAACAAAUAACUUGUUUAAGUGUACAUAUCAAAACAUCAGAUCAAGUGCAUAAAAGCAGGUAAUAGUGAGUACAUGUUAUAGGAAUUAAAUGGCUACAUAUUGAUACUCUUCAGAGCUUCCAUGUCAGAUUGUCUUCCAUUGGUGGAUGAUAAAAUUAUGCUGCAGUGCCUGCAUGUGCGCAUAGCAUAAGUAAAAUAAUUGAAGUGCAUCAUUCCGUAAGUCAGACUUAGAAAUUAGAAGAUGCUUUGUGUUGGAGCAUCAUAUGUUUUAUGGUGUUUCCAAAUCAAGUACGACAACAGUGUGGAGAUUACAUGACAGUAAGGUAACUAAUAAAUCAUGAGAUCUAAACAGAAGAGAAGAGAAAAAAUCAUCAUAACAAAGUAGAAAUCACAUCAUCCAUGAAUUCUCAAGUCUUACCUUUGUUACCACUAACCUUUUUCAAUUAUUGCUGACCCUAGAAACAUGUCAUCCUUGAACUUUCAGACUGUAGGUCCAUUCACGAUUAAUGGCAGCAAUUGGAUGGAGAUUUAGCUAAAUGCACACAUAUGAAAAGGGAAGACCCCAUCAGGCCUUAAUUCAUCUAGUGACUAUAAAAAUAUGAAAUCUGGAAGAUAGUAUUGUUGAUUUACCUUAGCCGUAAAACCUUUAGUUUACCUUACCCCAUGAUGAAAAUCAUCCUUGUUGAAGUCAUCAACCGUGGCGAGGUCUUGGUCAAGUUGGUCGAUGUCUAGCAAGAUCAUUGUUCUUGAAGAUUACCUUCCCUCCGGGGCUCAAAAUAGCCGUCAUCCAUCACAUGUAACUGAACAGUAUAGCUUUGUCCUCCAUAUCCCUCACACCCUGCCUCUAUUGGUUGAUGGAUUGAGAGAACGAUGAUGGGAAGCUGAAUCAUAGCAGAGAAUAGAGUUCCACCCGUACAGGAACAGGAAAUAGAGUUCCACCCGUAGAGGAAGUAUUGACAUUGGAUAGUCUCUUUUUCUACAUAUACGGUACAGGUUUUUGUCCUGUACGCUACAUGAAGAUCUAUAUCUUGUUUUUGGAGAGAUAUAGAAUACUGAUUUUCUCUUGACAUCGAGGUCUGCUUCAAGCAAACGCACAGUAAAAGAAAACUGAAUCGCUAAUAGCACGAUCAAAGGGGGCGAUGAAAAAAUUUGAAUCCAAAUUGACAAAAUCAAACAAAAAAUAAAUCAGUGUGAGAAGACAAACCUGAUCUGGAUGAAAAUAUAUAUUUUAAUGUGAUUAGCUCCGUCAGCGCAGCAGAUCCAUGCCCCGCUUGAUUCUUGCAAUUUGGGAGAGGCACGGAUCUAUUUCCACGUGGAGAAAUUGGCAAAAGCAAACUAAAAACAAAUAAGUGUGAGAAGUCAAACCUGAUCUGGAUAAAGAAAAUGUGAUUAGCUCCGACAGUGCAGCAGAUCCAUGCCCCACUUCCUUCUUGCAAUUUGGGAGAGGCACGGAUCUAUUUCCAUGUGGAGAGGUAGAGAGAGAAGAGAGUUUGAGGAGAGAGAUGUGAAAUUGAGAGAGGGGUCCAUCUCCAACUUCCUUCCUCCAAUAUGAGAAAGACAUGGAUCUCUUUCCCAUCAGAACAUGAAGAGAGACAUGAGAGCUUGAGAGAUUUGCUGCGGGAGAGAGAAUAGAUUACUUCAGGUCGUUUUUUAGGGUUGUUAGUGGGAAAGGAAGAGAUGGAGACGUACCUACCUGGGAGAUUGAGAGAAAUUAGGAUUGCUUCAGCUUUUUU